UACGUAGGGUCCGAGCGUUGUCCGGAAUUACUGGGCGUAAAGGGCUCGUAGGCGGCCAACUAAGUCGGACGUGAAAUCCCUCAGCUUAACUGGGGAACUGCGUCCGAUACUGGAUGGCUUGAGUUUGGGAGAGGGAUGCGGAAUUCCAGGUGUAGCGGUGAAAUGCGUAGAUAUCUGGAGGAACACCGGUGGCGAAGGCGGCAUCCUGGACCAACACUGACACUGAGGAGCGAAAGCCAGGGGAGCAAACGGG
rnacentral:rRNA from 1 species